rnacentral:rRNA from 1 species
CAGUAGCCGCGGGAAUACGAAGGGGGCUAGCGUUGCUCGGAAUGACUGGGCGUAAAGGGCGCGUAGGCGGAUUGUUUAGUUAGGCGUGAAAUUCCUGGGCUUAACCUGGGGACUGCGCUUAAUACAGGCAGUCUAGAGUGAGGAAGAGGGUUGUGGAAUUCCCAGUGUAGAGGUGAAAUUCGUAGAUAUUGGGAAGAACACCGGUGGCGAAGGCGGCGACCUGGUCCUUUACUGACGCUGAGGCGCGAAAGCGUGGGGAGCAAACAGGAUUAGAUACCCCAGUAGUCCCUGUCUCUUAUAC